UUCAAAAAGGGAAGGGGGGGGGGGGAGGGGGAACAUGGAAGUAAACUUGAAGUUAACUUAUUGGUGCUGGUAAAUUCAGUGUCCACUGGUUUUAAUAAUAUGGUUUACAGAAAUAUGUUUUUACAAAUGCUUUGUCACCAGAAGUCAGUUACGGGUCUUGUGGUCUCGCUUAUUUACCCCAUUCUAGAAUUUUUUUAUCCCAUUCUAAAUUUGUUUUUAUAUCAUUGUAAUUACUACCAUAUUAUUUAUAAUAUUAAUAAUAAAAAUUAAAUAAAAAACUUAGGUAAACAAGAACUGACUUGCGUGAUUAAGUACUGCUGGAUCCACCUAUGGUCUAAACAAAUCCACUCCUAGCUUCAAAAGAGUAACCAAUUGUGAAAUAAAAAAAAAAAAAAAAAAAAAGUGGUAUUUUCAAGCCCUGAUGAACUCUUCUUAUUACUUUUCAGCAACAAUAUUUUGAUAAAACACAAAGGGUAUGACACACUUACCGCUAGAUCCUUCGGCCACUGACCAGGAUGACGUGCCAGCAUGAUCCUGCAAAGAUACUGGGUAUGGCUCCACAUGUGCUCAGCUGGCAAGGAGUCUAUCAGUAGGCCCUAGUGACCAAUCCUGAUUUCCCCAUUCCUUGAAUUGGUGGGAGAAUGUGCUUUUUAAUACAAGUGAUAUCAAUACUAUUAUUAUUGUUAUUGAUAUUUUGUUUCUUAAAUUGUUGUUGAAAUCUUGGUAACAUUUAUGACAAUGAAAUAAUACAAAAGACCCUUUCCUAAAGUCAAGGAAAAGUGUAAACAAGUGAGAUAGGUAGGAUUAAUAACUGACACUUGGUGACUAAGCGCUUGUACAGCCAUCUAUGUGUAAAUACAAUAAAUAAACUUAUAUUACAG